rnacentral:rRNA from 1 species
UACGAAGGGGGCUAGCGUUGUUCGGAAUCACUGGGCGUAAAGCGCACGUAGGCGGAUGUGCCAGUCAGGGGUGAAAUCCCGGAGCUCAACUUCGGAACUGCCUCUGAUACAGCACGUCUUGAGUCCGGAAGAGGUGGGUGGAAUUCCUAGUGUAGAGGUGAAAUUCGUAGAUAUUAGGAAGAACACCGGUGGCGAAGGCGGCCCACUGGUCCGGUACUGACGCUGAGUGCGAAAGCGUGGGAGCGAACAGGAUGAGAAACCCAGUA